rnacentral:rRNA from 1 species
UACGUAGGAGGCAAGCGUUGUCCGGAGUACUGGGCGUAAAGCGCACGCAGGCGGUCCUAUUAGUCUGGGGUGACAGUUCCCGGCUUAACCGGAAAAGGACUCUGGAAACUGUAGGACUUGAGGGCUUCAGAGGGAUGUGGAAUUCCAGGUGGAGUGGUGAAAUGCGUAGAGAUCUGGAAGAACACCAAAGGCGAAGGCAGCAUCCUGGGAAGUUCCUGGACGCUCGGGGUGCGAAAGCCAGGGGAGCGAACGGG